GGACGAACGCUGGCGGCGUGCCUAACACAUGCAAGUCGAACGGGACUAUUGGAAUGAGACUUCGGUCAAAGGAAAAUAAGUUAGUGGCGGACGGGUGAGUAACGCGUGAGCAACCUGCCUUUCAGAGGGGGACAACAGUUGGAAACGACUGCUAAUACCGCAUAAUGUGUAUUGAAGGCAUCUUCGGUACACCAAAGAUUAUAUCGCUGAAAGAUGGGCUCGCGUCUGAUUAGAUAGUUGGCGGGGUAACGGCCCACCAAGUCGACGAUCAGUAGCCGGACUGAGAGGUUGAACGGCCACAUUGGGACUGAGAUACGGCCCAGACUCCUACGGGAGGCAGCAGUGGGGAAUAUUGGUCAAUGGGGGCAACCCUGAACCAGCAACGCCGCGUGAAGGAAGAAGGCUUUCGGGUUGUAAACUUCUUUUGCCGGGGACGAAACAAAUGACGGUACCCGGCGAAUAAGCCACGGCUAACUACGUGCCAGCAGCCGC
rnacentral:rRNA from 1 species